rnacentral:rRNA from 1 species
GACGAACGCUGGCGGCGUGCUUAACACAUGCAAGUCGAGCGGUAAGGCCCUUUCGGGGGUACACGAGCGGCGAACGGGUGAGUAACACGUGGGUGACCUGCCCUCAGCUCUGGGAUAAGCCUGGGAAACCGGGUCUAAUACUGGAUAUGACUCCAUGACGCAUGUUGUGGGGUGGAAAGCCCUGUGCGGCUGAGGAUGGGCCCGCGGCCUAUCAGCUUGUUGGUGGGGUGAUGGCCUACCAAGGCGACGACCGGGUAGCCGGCCUGAGAGGGCGACCGGCCACACUGGGACUGAGACACGGCCCAGACUCCUACGGGAGGCAGCAGUGGGGAAUCUUGCGCAAUGGGCGAAAGCCUGACGCAGCGACGCCGCGUGAGGG